rnacentral:rRNA from 1 species
UACGGAGGGUGCAAGCGUUGUCCGGAUUUAUUGGGUUUAAAGGGUGCGUAGGCGGCUGAUUAAGUCAGCGGUGAAAGUUUUCGGCUCAACCGAGAGACUGCCGUUGAUACUGGUCAGCUUGAGUUAUGGAGGGGUACAUGGAAUUUAUGGUGUAGCGGUGAAAUGCAUAGAUACCAUAAGGAACACCGAUAGCGAAGGCAUUGUACUGGCCAUAAACUGACGCUGAGGCACGAAAGCGUGGGUAGCGAACAGG